CAUUUUGUUUCACUCAAGUGAUUUUCGGUAGAGGUUAGCACCCUGAUGAAGAAAAGUUAAGGUGCCAGGCUGGGUUCCUGGGCAAUAACUUUUGGCAGCGGCUCAAAGUCCAAAAACCGUGUUUUUUCACACUUUUCGUUGAAUAUCAAGAGAACCCGAAAAGAUAA